rnacentral:rRNA from 1 species
CCUUCGGUUGCCCGAGUUGUAAUCUAGAGAAGUGUUUUCCGUGCCGGCCCAUGUACAAGUCCCUUGGAACAGGGCGUCAUAGAGGGUGAGAAUCCCGUCCUUGACAUGGACCCCCGGUGCUUUGUGAUACACUUUCAACGAGUUGAGUUGUUUGGGAAUGCAGCUCAAAAUGGGUGGUGGAUCCAUCUUAAGGUAAAUAUUGGCGAGAGACCGAUAGCGAACAAGUACCGUGAGGGAAAGAUGAAAGCACUUUGGAAAGAGAGUUAAACAGUACGUGAAAUUGUUGAAAGGGAAACGAUUGAAGUCAGUCAUGCUCUUGGACUUACCUCCCUUGAGUGGGGUCAACAUCAGUUUUGAUCGAUGGAUAAAGGCACGGGGAAGGUAGCACUCUCGGGUGAACUUAUAGCCUCGCGUCAUAUACAUUGAUUGGGACUGAGGAACGCAGCAUGCCUUAUGGCCGGGAUUCGUCCACGUACAUGCUUAGGAUGUUGACAUAAUGGCUUUA